rnacentral:rRNA from 1 species
GGGCCCGCACAAGCGGUGGAGCAUGUGGUUUAAUUCGAUGCAACGCGAAGAACCUUACCAGGGUUUGACAUCCUGCGAAUCUCUUGGAAACGAGAGAGUGCCUUCGGGAACGCAGUGACAGGUGGUGCAUGGCUGUCGUCAGCUCGUGCCGUGAGGUGUCAGGUUAAGUCCUAUAACGAGCGCAACCCCUGUUGUUAGUUGCCAGCGAUUCAAGUCGGGAACUCUAACAAGACUGCCGGUGCAAACCGUGAGGAAGGUGGGGACGACGUCAAGUCAUCAUGGCCCUUACGUGUAGGGCUACACACGUGCUACAAUGGCCGGUACAAACGGUUGCGAACCCGCGAGGGGAAGCUAA